rnacentral:rRNA from 1 species
AGCUGGCGCUGUGCUUAACACAUGCAAGUCGAACGAUGAACCUGGAGCUUGCUCUAGGGGAUUAGUGGCGAACGGGUGAGUAACACGUGAGUAACCUGCCCUUGACUCUGGGAUAACCUCCGGAAACGGAAGCUAAUACCGGAUAUGACGUACGGAGGCAUCUCCUGUACGUGGAAAGAAUUUCGGUCAAGGAUGGACUCGCGGCCUAUCAGGUAGUUGGUGAGGUAACGGCUCACCAAGCCUACGACGGGUAGCCGGCCUGAGAGGGUGACCGGCCACACUGGGACUGAGACACGGCCCAGACUCCUACGGGAGGCAGCAGUGGGGAAUAUUGCACAAUGGGCGCAAGCCUGAUGCAGCAACGCCGCGUGAGGGAUGACGGCCUUCGGGUUGUAAACCUCUUUUAGUAGGGAAGAAGCGAAAGUGACGGUACCUGCAGAAAAAGCACCGGCUAACUACGUGCCAGCAGCCGCGGUAAUACGUAGGGUGCGAGCGUUGUCCGGAAUUAUUGGGCGUAAAGAGCUCGUAGGCGGUCUGUCGCGUCUGCUGUGAAAACCCGAGGCUCAACCUCGGGCCUGCAGUGGGUACGGGCAGACUAGAGUGCGGUAGGGGAGAAUGGAAUUCCUGGUGUAGCGGUGGAAUGCGCAGAUAUCAGGAGGAACACCGAUGGCGAAGGCAGUUCUCUGGGCCGUAACUGACGCUGAGGAGCGAAAGCGUGGGGAGCGAACAGGAUUAGAUACCCUGGUAGUCCACGCCGUAAACGUUGGGCGCUAGAUGUGGGGACCAUUCCACGGUUUCCGUGUCGCAGCUAACGCAUUAAGCGCCCCGCCUGGGGAGUAC